GGUCUGCACCGGAGGGCGGUGGGCAUGGAACAGAAUGCCCAGGGCUGUGGGCACGGCCCUGAAUGCUGGAGUUCAACGAGUGUCAGCCUCCAUUGUGAUCUUCGGGUGGAGUGUUUGUGUGGCAAUGGCUCAUGAGACACCGUGCAUGGGACUUCUUCAGGCGUUCAGAGUUGGGCUGGUUGUGGAAGUACUGAAGUACGUUGCUGAGAGGGGUAGGCAAGACAUUAGCCAAUGAAAUGUUUUACCAAGUGUUUUGCAGUUAUUUGAACAGUUGAAGUUCACUUCACAACAUUUGUAUGUGCUAGCACAUGUCCUAUCCACUGCAAGAAGACUUCAGAAGAAUUGCUGCGUUCAUUUAGCCUUCUUCCUUCCCUCCAAGUUCACACCCACCACACCAUGUCAGUUUCUUCAUGCUGUGGCUGUGCAAAGAGGCUUGAAAAUAUGCAGCACGUAUACUCCAGAGGCUCAACAGCUUGACAGCAAAUAAAAAGAAUUAUGGUUUGAAAACAUAUACGUUGGGUUUUUAAAGAGUCACGUUAGGGGGGAAGAGGGCAGCAGACAGAUGAAUUUCAAAUAUUUGUGGUUGACUGGUCUGAGCACCUUACCCCACGUACUGCUUAUUUGUGUCACAGGAACUCUGUCUAGACAGGCAAGUACAGCAUGUUUGAAAAGGUGUUAAAUAAUGUAUUAACAUGAACUUUACAUUUUGCUAUAAAUAGAGUUGAAAUGUUUUUCAACUUAAAUAAUCAGCCUUAACAUCCUGAUGCUUUUGCCACUCUUGCCCCUACAACGUAAGCUUUUUUAGGGAUUAACUGAUCAAAGACAUACUGGAACAUCAUCUGGUUUACCCAAGUGGAUCUUGCAGAUUGUUGAGAAAAUAUACUAAGGGAAUUGGCUGUGACUGCUGAGCAGGUUUUGGGUGGUUAGUCUUGGGUCGGAGAGGCCAUCAAGAUAUGUCUGUCUUCAGCGGGUCCAGGACAAGAGUUAUGCAGAAGCUUUCUGCAUCCACAGCACCUGAAGACUUGAUUCCCCAUCAACUUGCACAUUCACUACUGCUACAUUCCUGCUUACUGAGACAACUGACAGAAGGAUUUAUGUACUACUUAAAUUGUAUUGGAAAUGUCAAAACACAGCUUGAUGUUCUUGGUGUCAAUAGGUGCAUUUGUCAUGGACUGCUUUUUCCUCCUAGUUCUUACGAAGUAAGAAGCAGUAGUACCUAGUAAUCAAAGAUAUAAAAUACAUUUAUUAUCUAGACCAACCUACUGUAGGAACUGGAGUCUGUGAAUACAAGAAUUGUACAAGAUGCCAGAAUACCAUUCAGCUCUAUAAUUAAGUGCUUUUACCUGGGGCUUGUCCUUACUUAAAAACAAACAGGACUCUUGCUGGUAAAAAUGUCAAGACGAGUCUGCUAGAAGAAGUAAGCGUUUUCUACCUGUCAUGAAUACUAAAAAUAUAGAAAGUUACGGAAGAAAUGUGUUUUGGGCUGUAAAGGUUCCGUAGAAAAAGGUAGCUCAAACGCAGCAUUAAAAAGGGGAAGAUUCGAUCAGAUGAAAAAUUGAAAGAAGGACCACUUCUUGGAAUCAGUUGACUGGAAGUAGAUACAGUGAUACUGGUUUGAGAUAGAUGAGGUGAAUGUGGCUUUCUGGAUAUAACUAUGCAUAUAGUACCUAUUAGUAUGGUCUUGUCUGAGUGGACAGAGAUGUCACUGGCAUAGAGUAGGGUACCCUAGGCUUGGUUUCUUUAGGGUUUUGUGCACUGAGGUCCUCCACAGCUUCCCUGCUAUAGCAAGCCUGUGUGAUACAUGUAUUGAGCGUCUGCUCCUUUCCAAGAGAACAUGGUCCUUGGUGUGAUGCUUUCUGCUUCAGAAGCGUAUAUUCAGUCUGUAUUGCCAUUCUGGGUGUGCACUGGUGCUUCUCAACAGGCAUGUAGUUUUC